rnacentral:lncRNA from 1 species
AUGACAGCUUGGGUUAUGCUUCAUGAAUUGGACCCCAUUCUAAUAAAAUUCGGAGUUUUCGCUGCCCGAAUCAAGAGCGGAACAAUAACAACAGGAACAAUAGCUAGUGCUGGCCAGCCGCCUUGCUGGUUGAAUGAUGACAGUGUGUUUACAUACUUGUUCUGCAGAAUGAUGUGUUAUGCCCUGGUAACCGAUUCCUUGAAGUUAGAAUCGAACAAAGGCUAUCAAGAAAUGAACUGUUUCUCAGUUCUUCCAAACAUCUUUAUCAGGAGUCUUUUGGGAGCUGCCCAAACCGCUGUACUACAGUCUGGCUCCAUCUUCCUGCAGGACUCUUCUGAUCUUUCUGAAAAGGGUAAUGCAGGGGCUUUCUACUCAUAGACUGUGUAGGAACUGUUCUGGCUUUGCAUAAGGAUUCAGAGCAUUAGUUAACUUUGCCGUUUUUCCCUUCAGUGUUCCUGUUUUUCCUCUUGCAGUCUUCUGAGCAGACGUUGCUUUCAAAAGAGGAAAGGUACUUCAGGAACGAAACCACUUACUAGCUGCAACCUUAAUGCUAGAAAAAAAGGACUAAAAAGGUGCUCCAAGAUCAAGUUUGGCUUUCUCUUACAGAGGGUAACAAUAUUACACAAUGAUCACUAAUUUAUCAAGCUGUGUUUAGGACCAGCUUUUUUGUCCUCAUUCCUUUUUUUAGAAGUAAUUUUAAAACAGUCGGGGUGAGGGGGAGGGAACUUUUCAAAUAUGGUAGCCUAAUACAAAGCAUAAAUUUAAUUUAUCAGAAAGAAUUGACUAACCUUGUC